AGAACGAACGCUGGCGGCAUGCCUAACACAUGCAAGUCGAACGAGACCUUCGGGUCUAGUGGCGCACGGGUGCGUAACGCGUGGGAAUCUGCCCUUAGGUACGGAAUAACUCAGGGAAACUUGUGCUAAUACCGUAUGAUGUCGAGAGACCAAAGAUUUAUCGCCUAGGGAUGAGCCCGCGUAGGAUUAGCUAGUUGGUGGGGUAAAGGCCUACCAAGGCUACGAUCCUUAGCU
rnacentral:rRNA from 1 species